GCCUGGCUGGUUCAGUCAGUAGAACAUGCGACUCUUCAUCUCAGGGUUGUGAGUUCAAACCCCACAUUGGGCA
rnacentral:tRNA from 1 species